rnacentral:rRNA from 1 species
AGAGUUUGAUCCUGGCUCAGGAUGAACGCUGGCGGUCUGCUUAACACAUGCAAGUCGAACGGGACUCUUCGGAGUUUAGUGGCGGACGGGUGAGUAACGCGUGAGAAUCUGCCCUUAGGUUGGGGACAACAGUUGGAAACGACUGCUAAUACCCAAUGUGCCGAGAGGUGAAAGGUUAACUGCCUGGGGAUGAGCUCGCGUCUGAUUAGCUAGUUGGAGUGGUAACGGCACACCAAGGCGACGAUCAGUAGCUGGUCUGAGAGGAUGAUCAGCCACACUGGGACUGAGACACGGCCCAGACUCCUACGGGAGGCAGCAGUGGGGAAUUUUCCGCAAUGGGCGAAAGCCUGACGGAGCAAGACCGCGUGAGGGAGGAAGGCCUAUUGGUUGUAAACCUCUUUUGAUAGGGAAGAACACAAUGACGGUACCUAUCGAAUCAGCAUCGGCUAACUCCGUGCCAGCAGCCGCGGUAAUACGGAGGAUGCAAGCGUUAUCCGGAUUUAUUGGGCGUAAAGCGUCCGUAGGUGGCAAACCAAGUCAGUUGUUAAAGCGUAGAGCUUAACUCUAUAAGGGCAAUUGAAACUGGUUAGCUAGAGUGCGAUAGGGGCAAGGGGAAUUCCCAGUGUAGCGGUGAAAUGCGUAGGUAUUGGGAAGAACAUCGGUGGCGAAGGCGCCUUGCUGGGUCUGCACUGACACUGAGGGACGAAAGCUAGGGGAGCGAAAGGGAUUAGAUACCCCUGUAGUC